AGGCUACUGUAUUUGUAAUUGGAGGAGUUGCUACACUAAUGAGGAAUGUAUGGUAUUUUAAGGCUCACACAGAUUUCAUGUUGGCUCUCACUUAGAACAUUUUUUUUUGUCUGGGAAGUUUGAAUCAUGGACACAGCGUCUUGUUCACUCCAUUUAGCUUGCCAUAUUUUAAUUUGCAGGCUCCCAGCAGAUUCACCAGGGACCGCCACUUGUGAGGAUGGAGCUCUCAAACAAUACCUCUCUUUCCCUCCCUCACCUCUCCUCUUGGCAGGAUGGAGGGAUUGCUUGACCAGUGGCUAUGGAAAGAGGAGUACUGGCUGCCUCCAGGGUUUACCUGGAAGGACAUAGAGAUGGAGGAGGGGACCGGUACCCUCUACCCCAGGACCUGCUCUACAACCUGCCUCUAGCCCUGGGCUUCAUUGCCCUGCACUAUGUAUUUGAGAGGGCCAUAGCCAUCCCACUGAGCAGACAGCUGGGGGUGAGAGACAGGGUGUGGAUUCGAGCCCCAUCUGUCCCAAAGCUGGAGACCUUUUAUAAACGGAACAAACAUCAACCCUCACAGACCCCCUAGUUCUGGGACCACAGCGAGUGCUGGCGAGGCUACCCAAAACAACCUGUCGCUGAGGCUCACUAUUGGUAUUACAUCACAGAGCUUAGUUUCUAUUGGUCCCUGCUGUUCUGUGUCUGUGGAUGUAAAGCGGAAGGUAUGUGUCACUUCUGUCACCUCACACACUCUCCUGUCAUCUCACACAAACUCUCCUGUUAACUCACACAAACUCUCCUGUCCCCUCACACAAACUACUGUCAUUUAGCAGACGCUCGAUUUACAAUCAGAGCAUUAAUCUUAAAAUAACUAGGUGAGGCAACAUCAAAGAUGUGAACACAUUUUUAUGACCUAAUGAUUAAUUGUUAUCUAAGAGGAUGUUUGUUUCAGUAUAAAUUAAGCUGGACAUUCUACCAUUCGUCAGUGUUCAGUCUAUUUAGAGAAUCCUGGAUUAUGGUUCAAAAUGUUCAAAAAGCUCUAUAACAAAUCAUGUGGGAUAUGAUUUUAGCUAAUGGCAUGGCAACAAAGAAACUUUCUCCACACACACACACAUAGUGACUCUAAACCGCAGGACGGCCUCAGCUUUCAUAGGAAAACCAUUACUUUCCAUUCCAGAUUAUAGUUGGUGUUCACAGCAGAUUUCCAGCUUGUUUUGCUGAAACUUCCUUUUCAUUUUUGUAGAGUCGUGUUUCCUCAAAGGAACUGCCUGCAGAGGUGGUUGAUGUUUUCAAUGAUAACUAGAGUAUGUAUCUGGAUGUUGUCCACUGAGGUUUAGUAAUUAUACACUAGUCCUGCCCUUCAGGACCCAGGUUACCUGCUCCCUGCCAAGCCUUCCCUUCCUCUCCUCAUUCAAAUGGGCAACUGAAAGGUCACUUAUUUGAAUCCCCAAGCCGACAAGGUGAAAAGGGAGAGUUUGGGAUCUGCAAAAAACACAUUUUCAAUUCACACAUUAGUAUUAAUACACACUUGUACAUGUGUGAAAAUAGGACAAUUAUAAGCACCCACCUAAUUAGUAUGGUUAUUCUCUCCUGCUAUUCCCUCUGCUGUACUGAUAAAAUAUCUACCUGUAAUCUUUCCACAGAUUGUCACGUACGGUGCAUUCGGAAACUAUUCAGACCCCUUGAUUUUUUUUCCACAUUUUGUUACA